GGCCAGACUCCUACGGGAGGCAGCAGUGAGGAAUAUUGGUCAAUGGGCGAGAGCCUGAACCAGCCAAGUCGCGUGAAGGAUGACGGCCCUACGGGUUGUAAACUUCUUUUGUCAGGGAGCAAUUGGGUCCACGCGUGGGCUUAGCGAGAGUACCUGAAGAAAAAGCAUCGGCUAACUCCGUGCCAGCAGCCGCGGUAAUACGGAGGAUGCGAGCGUUAUCCGGAUUUAUUGGGUUUAAAGGGUGCGCAGGCGGUCUGUUAAGUCAGCGGUCAAAGCCGGGGGCUCACCCCCGGUCCGCCGUUGAAACUGGCAGUCUCGAGUUGGAGAGAAGUAUGCGGAAUGCGCGGUGUAGCGGUGAAAUGCAUAGAUAUCGCGCAGAACUCCGAUUGCGAAGGCAGCAUGCCGGCUCCACACUGACGCUGAGGCACGAAAGCGUGGGUAUCGAACAGGAUUAGAUACCCGAGUACG
rnacentral:rRNA from 1 species